rnacentral:rRNA from 1 species
UACGAAGGGGGCUAGCGUUGCUCGGAAUCACUGGGCGUAAAGGGUGCGUAGGCGGGUUUUUAAGUCAGAGGUGAAAUCCUGGAGCUCAACUCCAGAACUGCCUUUGAUACUGAGAAUCUUGAGUAUGGGAGAGGUGAGUGGAACUGCGAGUGUAGAGGUGAAAUUCGUAGAUAUUCGCAAGAACACCAGUGGCGAAGGCGGCUCACUGGCCCAUAACUGACGCUGAGACGCGAAAGCUAGGGGAGCGAACAGG